CUGGAACGAUACCUGAAUGGUCCCAGCUGAUGCCUCUAGGUGUCACUCUUAAGCUUGCUUCAAUGCUGAUAUGAUGUGACAGAUCGGUGGUUUUGCUUGCUUGUCUAGCCUCUCAACCCGACUUGCCACUCUCCUCUUAUGCCCCCUAACAGGCCUAUAGGAACCUAGACCUGCAAGCUAAUCACAAAAGUUUAGCACUACCUAGCACAUUGUUGGGACAUGUAUAUAUUUAGUCAAUCCGCUAAGUCGUUACUUAGGUUUUCCUACACUUUACAUUGCACCAGGCCCACCUGCAGCUCAGUCUAGGGGCUUAGUUAGCAUUUUAUAGCAUUCUUGUUUAUUUAACUUACUUUCCUAGCAACAAUCUACAUAGUCGGAAGCAUUUAACAUACAACUAUUCAGCAUGUUAUAAUUUGGAAGACUACCUGUAGUGGCUAUCUAGGCUUGGAUGUGUAAGCUUUAUUACUCGACUAAGUUAGGUUUUGCUUUAUUGUUUUGCUUAUACUUAAAAAGCAUGUUUAUCUCAUACUUAAUAACUUGCCUUGUGUUAUUACCUCUUGCACACAGAAUCUUGGUUCAAGCCUUCCAUAUAUUACACAACGGUAUAGCGUGUUUACCUC